UUGUGUAUACUGCUAAUUUUCUUAGGAUUCUUUCUGUCAAAGUUUGUAAUUUCUUAAAAGUUAUUUUUGGGUUGCUGAAACUAAUUAAUUUGAUCAGUGUGAUUUUUUGUGAUUAGGAAUUUAGGACCUUGGUAACUUGAUUGAUUAUGAAUUUGUGGGUUUAUCUCCUAAUUAGUAUUCAAAUUUAGUGCAUAUAUAAGUCCAUUUCUUAAGAGGGAUCUAUUUUGAUAAGAAACAAGACCUUUCAAUGUGUGGUUCAAACCGUCAAAUUCAUAAGUCCAGAUGUAACUAUAUUCUUCAAAAGACUUGGCUAACUAUGGUUUUACCAUUUGGUUAUUAUCUUAAACAUUUUGGUAUUUACUCAAAAGCAUUAUAUACUCAUUUUCUUAGUUAGUUGACUUAGUAAUUUCCUAUUUGGGUUUGAUCUAGCAAACACACACCCAAGGCUGCAUAAGAAGAAACUUGGUGAUGCCAAAAAAAUCUUGGUGCAUGACUCCUAAUUGAGAUCUGCUUGCUUACUUAAUCAUUCAGUGUGGUGUGUUUGUUUACAAUUUAAUUCCUUUUAAUUGUGGCCGUAGCACAAUUACUUGAAUAUACAGAAAUGAAAGGGAUGGUUUCUUGCGAUAUCUGUGUCCAUAUGGAUUAUAGCUGAGUGUAAAAAAAUGAUGUGAUGCCUGCCAGAAAUAACAACUCUUUGAGCAUCCUAAUUUGUGGUGUCUGUAUGGAUUAUAGCUCAUUGUAAUAACAACUCUUUGAACAUCCUAAUUUGUAUGUGUUUGUCUGAGAACAAUUGAUUACUACAAAGUAUAGAAGUAAUUCUUUCUUCAGUGAAAAAUAAAAGGAAAUUUUUUACAAGGGUUUACCUUCUGUCCAAAUUGAGCAUGUUUGAGAAUUGCUAAUGGAUUUACUAUGUUUGGGAAUUUUGGGAAUUUAGAUCAUUGGAGGGCGAAGUUGGUUCCUUGACAUUUUGAGUGAACUACUAUUGCUCAAACAAUAUGGAACCAGCCGAGUAAGAAAUAAAGGCUCCACAUCAUUCUUUGGUAUUCUUUUUAUGGUUUCUAUUUCCUUGCUGAGAAAGGAACAUUUGUGGAACUGGAUGGGAACCUUCAUUCUUUGUCAUGUAACUUUUUAACAAGACACUGCCAAUGUUGUGGAUGACAUUAUUUUGCUUUGCUGGCUGCUAAUUUGUUGUGUUUAAUUCUUCUUUGUAGCUGAAGUUUUCUUUCGCAAAGCGUUGACCGACUGUUGUACUCAUAUCUGCGUUUCAUUUUGUAAACUUUUUUCCAUACUUCCCCAAGUGUAUGUUUUGGAAUGGUGAAAUUUUUGUGAUGGUUUCAUACUCUGCUGUCUUCAAUGCACUGUCAAAUCUUAUUCUAAGGAUGUUGUUUGAAUAUGAUUUGUUAAGACGUCCCAUGAUUCACAA